UACGGGGGGUGCAAGCGUUGUUCGGAAUCAUUGGGCGUAAAGCGCGCGUAGGCGGCCAGAUAAGUCGGGCGUGAAAGCCCUCGGCUCAACCGAGGAACUGCGUUCGAUACUGUUUGGCUUGAGUCCUGGAGAGGGUGGCGGAAUUCCGGGUGUAGGAGUGAAAUCCGUAGAUAUCCGGAGGAACACCGGUGGCGAAGGCGGCCACCUGGACAGGUACUGACGCUGAGGUGCGAAAGCGUGGGGAGCAAACAGG
rnacentral:rRNA from 1 species